AUGCACGCUGGCGGCGUGCUUAACACAUGCAAGUCGCACGAUGAAGCCCAGCUUGCUGGGUGGAUUAGUGGCGAACGGGUGAGUAACACGUGAGUAACCUGCCCUUAACUCUGGGAUAAGCCUGGGAAACUGGGUCUAAUACCGGAUAGGAGCGUCCACCGCAUGGUGGGUGUUGGAAAGAUUUAUCGGUUUUGGAUGGACUCGCGGCCUAUCAGCUUGUUGGUGAGGUAAUGGCUCACCAAGGCGACGACGGGUAGCCGGCCUGAGAGGGUGACCGGCCACACUGGGACUGAGACACGGCCCAGACUCCUACGGGAGGCAGCAGUGGGGAAUAUUGCACAAUGGGCGCAAGCCUGAUGCAGCGACGCCGCGUGAGGGAUGACGGCCUUCGGGUUGUAAACCUCUUUCAGUAGGGAAGAAGCGAAAGUGACGGUACCUGCAGAAGAAGCACCGGCUAACUACGUG
rnacentral:rRNA from 1 species